rnacentral:rRNA from 1 species
CAGCCGCGGUAAUACGUAGGGGGCAAGCGUUGUCCGGAUUUAUUGGGCGUAAAGAGCGUGUAGGCGGCCAUACAGGUCCGUUGUGAAAACUGGAGGCUUAACCUCCAGACGUCGAUGGAAACCGUAUGGCUAGAGUCCGGAAGAGGAGAGUGGAAUUCCUGGUGUAGCGGUGAAAUGCGCAGAUAUCAGGAAGAACACCCGUGGCGAAGGGGGCUCUCUGGGACGGUACUGACGCUGAGACGCGAAAGCGUGGGGAGCGAACAGGAUUAGAUACCCUGGUAGUCCACGCCGUAAACGAUGGCUGCUAGGUGUGGGGGGUGUCGACUCCCUCCGUGCCGCAGCUAACGCAUUAA